GGGCCAUUUGAUGCUAAUGAUGGUGUGUUUGAUCCACAGGAAGAGGAAGGUCAGGCUGGAGAUCAGGAUCAGGAGGAGAAGAGGUGGAACAAGCGAACCCAGCAAAUGCUGCACGGACUCCAGCGCGUCAUGGCUAAGACUGGUGCAGACUCAGUCAGCCUGAUCGAGUUGUGCCGGAACAACAACAAGAAGCAGGCUGCUGCUAAGUUUUACAGUUUCCUCGUUCUCAAGAAGCAGCAAGCCAUCGAGAUCACCCAGACUGAGCCCUACAGCGACAUCGUCGCCGCCGCUGGACCAAGAUUCAACCUUAUUUAGACAUUGGAAGAACAGACGCACUCUGCUUGCAACAGACAUACUUUUUGAAUUACUCAACUAUUUGCCUGUCAGCCCAUUUUUUCUGGGGGAGGGUGUAGUGGGAAACGACUUUGAAGCUUUUAAAAUAAAGGAUUUUACUGUACUACAGGUGGAAUCAUGCAGUAUUCAUUUGGUUCAAACAAAGUGAGAAGAAUGUUUAACAAGUAUAUUUAUAAAGCAUCUUUUUUCAGUCACCAAUUUGUAAGCUUCUGUUUUGUUUUUUAAGUAAAACUUCCAUUGUCUUCUUAUUUCACAAGUUUCAUACCAUUGCCCCUCGCACCUGAAUCAUUGCAGAUUUGAGAUAAAGAGCCCUGUAUUUUCACAUGAAAUCCUGUAUUGACUCUGUGCGGAAAGGUACUGUUUUGUUGCUGAGAGGUGUAACCUGUCCCAUCUUCUGCUUGUUGCACUUCUUUCAUGAUAAACAAAACCAUUUAUCUGUCAAAAAUAAUGGUGAAUCUUAGCUGGCAUUAAAUAUCAUGUUUCAGAUGUUGAUAAUUCAGGCAGUUUAUCACUUAAGUUUUAUGUAAUAUUUGUUUUGUACCUUUUUACGUUUAUGCUUAUUCACCUUUUUUGCAUUAUGUAACUAGGUAAUGUUCUUGUUACAGUUGAGUUCAGUAUCCCACCUUUUUAGUCUUCUGGUAACCUAGUUGUGAUACAUCUGUAAAGAUUUGAAAUAAAGUGUUUUAAGUA